GAUGAACGCUGGCGGCGUGCCUAAUACAUGCAAGUCGAGCGAACGGACGAGAAGCUUGCUUCUCUGAUGUUAGCGGCGGACGGGUGAGUAACACGUGGAUAACCUACCUAUAAGACUGGGAUAACUUCGGGAUACCGGAGCUAAUACCGGAUGAUAUUUUGAACCGCAUGGUUCAAAAGUGAAAGACGGUCUUGCUGUCACUUAUAGAUGGAUCCGCGCUGCAUUAGCUAGUUGGUAAGGUAACGGCUUACCAAGGCAACGAUGCAUAGCCGACCUGAGAGGGUGAUCGGCCACACUGGAACUGAGACACGGUCCAGACUCCUACGGGAGGCAGCAGUAGGGAAUCUUCCGCAAUGGGCGAAAGCCUGACGGAGCAACGCCGCGUGAGUGAUGAAGGUCUUCGGAUCGUAAAACUCUGUUAUUAGGGAAGAACAUAUGUGUAAGUAACUGUGCACAUCUUGACGGUACCUAAUCAGAAAGCCACGGAUAACUACGUG
rnacentral:rRNA from 1 species